GACGAACCGUGCGAACGUUGUUCGGAAUCACUGGGCUUAAAGGGCGCGUAGGCGGGCUUGCAAGUCUGCGGUGAAAGCCUCCAGCUCAACUGGAGAAGUGCCGUGGAUACUGCGGGCCUCGAGGAGGGUAGGGGCAUCUGGAACGUUGGGUGGAGCGGUGAAAUGCGUUGAUAUCCAACGGAACUCCGGUGGCGAAAGCGGUCCGCUGGGUCCCCACUGACGCUGAGGCGCGAAAGCCAGGGGAGCAAACGGG
rnacentral:rRNA from 1 species